rnacentral:rRNA from 1 species
UACCAGCACCCCGAGUGGUCGGGACUAUUAUUGGGCCUAAAGCAUCCGUAGCCGGUUCUACAAGUCUUCCGUUAAAUCCACCUGCUUAACAGAUGGGCUGCGGAAGAUACUAUAGAGCUAGGAGGCGGGAGAGGCAAGCGGUACUCGAUGGGUAGGGGUAAAAUCCGUUGAUCCAUUGAAGACCACCAGUGGCGAAGGCGGCUUGCCAGAACGCGCUCGACGGUGAGGGAUGAAAGCUGGGGGAGCAAACCGG